rnacentral:rRNA from 1 species
GAUAAACGCUGGCGGCGUGCCUAAAACAUGCAAGUCGAACGGCAUCUUCGGAUGCAGUGGCGGACGGCUGAGUAACACGUGGGUGACCUGCCUCCGAGCGGGGGAUAACUGCCCGAAAGGGUGGCUAAUACCGCAGACAUCAUGGAUUCGGUUUCAUGAUUGAACCGUUCAGGGUUCGGAGAGGGGCCCGCGGCCGAUUAGCUAGCUGGUGGGGUGACGGCCUACCAGGGCUUCGAUCGGUAGCUGGUCUGAGAGGAUGAUCAGCCAGACUGGGACUGCGAACGGCCCAGACUCCUACGGGAGGCAGCAGUUAGGAAUUUUGGGCAAUGGGCGAAAGCCUGACCCAGCAACGCCGCGUGGGUGAUGAAGGCCCUCGGGUCGUAAAGCCCUUUUCCCAGGGAAGAUGGUGACGGUACCUGGGGAAUCAGCCCCGGCUAACUACGUGCCAGCAGCCGCGGUAAUAC